AAUGAACGCUGGCGGCGUGCUUAACACAUGCAAGUCGAACGAGAAAGCCCCUUCGGGGGUGAGUAGAGUGGCGAACGGGUGAGUAACGCGUAAGAAUCUACCCAUUAGUGAAGAAUACCUUCGGGAAACCGGAGUUAAUACUGCAUACGUCCCUUCGGGGAGAAAGGCGGCCUCUUGCUGCCGCUGAUGGAUGAGCUUGCGUACUAUUAGCUUGUUGGUGAGGUAAAGGCUCACCAAAGCUAUGAUGGUUAGCCGACCUGAGAGGGUGAUCGGCCACAUUGGGACUGAGAUACGGCCCAGACUCCUACGGGGGGCAGCAGUGGGGAAUAUUGCGCAAUGGGCGCAAGCUUGACGCAGCAACGCCGCGUGGAGGAUGAAGGCUUUCGGGUCGUAAACUCCUGUCAAGAGGGACGAAGCGCAAGUGACGGUACCUCUAGAGGAAGCCCCGGCUAACUACGUG
rnacentral:rRNA from 1 species